UACGUAGGGUGCAGGCGUUAAUCGGAAUUACUGGGCGUAAAGCGUGCGCAGGCGGUCUAUUAAGACAGGUGUGAAAUCCCCGGGCUUAACCUGGGAACUGCGCUUGUAACUGAUAGGCUGGAGUGUGGCAGAGGGGGGUGGAAUUCCAGGUGUAGCAGUGAAAUGCGUAGAGAUCUGGAGGAACACCGAUGGCGAAGGCAGCCCCCUGGGCUAACACUGACGCUCAUGCACGAAAGCGUGGGGAGCAAACAGG
rnacentral:rRNA from 1 species